rnacentral:rRNA from 1 species
CCCUUAGAUGUUCUGGGCAGCACGCGCGCUACAAUGGUCUUCGCAAACGGAUGCAUUCUCGAAGGAGAAUGCCAAUCUUGGAAUCUAUGCCUUGGUCGGGACAGUUGCUUGCAAUUUUUCGACUCGAACCAGGAAUUCCUUGUAAUCGUGAUUCAUCACAUCACGAUGAAUACGUCCCUGCCCUUUGUACACACCGCCCGUCGCUCCUACCGAUCGAAGAGUUAGGUGAAUUGUUUUGAUCGAUAAGAUUUGACUAUGGUCAACUCUCGUUGUGAAAUUCUGUGAAUCUGACUAUUUAGAGGAAGUAAAAGUCGUAACA